rnacentral:lncRNA from 1 species
GGGUGUGGGAAAGGGACCGAAAGGCCUGACCUUGGGAUAUCUGAGAAUUUGUGGGAGAAGACAAAGAAUGGAAAGACUCUGGUAUUAGAGGAGCUGAAAAGUCAGCUGGGGUGGGGAGGGGCACAGCUGGAUGGGAAGGAGCAAGUAGCAUCAGGAAGGGUCCAUGGUCCAUAUUCUGUGUUUUUUACCUGCAGGCAUUCAGAAGGGUGACCGAGUGGCCAUCUACAUGCCCAUGAUCUUGGAGCUCGUGGUGGCCAUGCUGGCAUGUGCCCGCCUGGGAGCUUUGCACUCCAUUGUGGUAGGAGUUUGGGCUAGUGAAAAGGGGUUAUAGAGGGGGACAGGGCUCUGAAGAAGUAGGUUGGGCCUGGAUAACAGAAGAUUGUAAAUAACAAACUAAGGAGCUUAGAGUGUUUGUGUCAUAGGUCCAACUCAGUUAUUCAGGACCCUGGCUUAGAGAUCCUAAGUGUUUCAUGAGCAACUUCUUUCCUUGUUCACUCAAUCUCUGGGACCUCCCUCUCUCCCUCAGUUUUUCUUUCCUUCCCUAGUUUGCAGGCUUCUCUGCAGAGUCUCUAAGUGAACGGAUCCUGGAUUCCAGUUGCAGCCUUCUCAUCACUACAGGUGACUAAUUUUCUCACUCCUUCUCCAGAACCCCCCACACUAGAGUCUUGGUCUUUAAUAAGCUUGUUGGUUCGGAGCUGCUCAGAAUGGAAGGUGGGCACUGGCCUGCCUUUCCUCUCCUGUCCUCACCUCAGCUGACCUUCUGUCAGCCCAAAUCAGCUGGAAGAGCGAGUCAAGAGGCCCACUCAGGAAAGGCCCUAAGUACAUUGUGCCCACUGGGGAGUAUAGUGCCUACUAAGGCCUGGAAUGUUUGUUGCUCUCCAAAGAUGCCUUCUACAGGGGGGAAAAGCUUGUGAACCUGAAGGAGCU